AUUGAACGCUGGCGGCAUGCCUUACACAUGCAAGUCGAACGGCAGCACGGGUGCUUGCACCUGGUGGCGAGUGGCGAACGGGUGAGUAAUAUAUCGGAACGUACCUUAUUGUGGGGGAUAACGCAGCGAAAGCUGUGCUAAUACCGCAUAAUCCCUAAGGGGGAAAGCGGGGGACCGUAAGGCCUCGCGCAAUUAGAGUGGCCGAUACCUGAUUAGCUAGUUGGUGAGGUAAAGGCUCACCAAGGCAACGAUCAGUAGCUGGUCUGAGAGGACGAUCAGCCACACUGGGACUGAGACACGGCCCAGACUCCUACGGGAGGCAGCAGUGGGGAAUUUUGGACAAUGGGGGCAACCCUGAUCCAGCAAUGCCGCGUGAGUGAAGAAGGCCUUCGGGUUGCAAAGCUCUUUUGUCAGGGAAGAAACAGCAGCUCUAACACAGUUUGCGAAUGACGGUACCUGAAGAAUAAGCACCGGCUAACUACGUGCCAGCCGCCGCGGUAA
rnacentral:rRNA from 1 species